rnacentral:rRNA from 1 species
AUGUCCUCUGCUGCUGUUGUGGUCACUGCUGCGCUGCUGCUGCUGCUAUCGCCCUUGGGCACCGUGGCACAGCCACCGGCUACUGGGAUGAGUAAAUGCACCACCCUCUGCGGCAAUAUCAGCAUCCCAUACCCGUUCGGGGUGGAGCCUGGCUGCUACCACGACAGCGGCUUCAACCUCACCUGCAACCAGUCCUACAGCCCGCCCCAGCUCUUCCUCGGCGACAGCACCGUUCAGGUGCGCGACAUCGAUCUGCCCAGCGCCACGGGAAACCCAUACAUCUCCGAUGGCUGCUAUGCUAAUAAUACACUGCUCAAGUAA